GCAGGGACCUUGGAGAUCAUUCAGCUCAGCGCAAACAUGAAACCACUCACUUCAGAGUAUACAAGGUGGGAGGAGGAGGACGGAGCGGAUGGGUGUGGUUUCCUGCUCUGAUAAGGCAAGGAUUUUAAUCUCUGCUUUGGAUAUAUUGAACAUUCCAAA